AGCGUAGGUGGACUGUUUAGUCAGAGGUGAAAGCCCAGGGCUCAACCUUGGAAUUGCCUUUGAUACUGGCAGUCUUGAGUACGGAAGAGGUAUGUGGAACUCCGAGUGUAGAGGUGAAAUUCGUAGAUAUUCGGAAGAACACCAGUGGCGAAGGCGACAUACUGGUCCGUUACUGACACUGAGGCUCGAAAGCGUGGGGAGCAAACA
rnacentral:rRNA from 1 species